AUGUACCUACGAGUCCAAGACCGGUCAUGCUCGUUACGAUAUUCGCGCCAUUAGAUUGAGCGAUUUAUUAUCCACAUUCAAAUCCAAAUCAAAGACAGACUUGCUGCGAAAAUUGGCUUCUGUGGAGGGCAAGGAUGUUCCCUACUUGAUGGGUUGCGGUUUGUUGGGCUCCCAAAUUCUUCUUGCCGGCGGCCUGGAACCGCGGGACCCGAAGCAGAAGACGGGGUUUCGAUACGGACCAUAUGGGAGCAAACAAAUUUAUCUGUUUGAGACAGAUGAUGAUGGGAAAAGAAAGGAGAAAGUAGUUUACAAUCAGAGUCACAGUCACACUACUGGUGAUGAAGGAGAAUUUGAGGGGAUCAUCAAGGGGGACUGCUGCUAUGGUGAACUUCAUCAAGGGAAACCUGAACCAUUGGUGGUUGAGGUUGGUGGGAAGCUCUAUGUUCUCUCUGGUGGUCCGCGAUGUUUCUCUAAAAGUCCUGUUUUUGAGGAGUUCAACUCGGGGACUUGGACCACUCUGCCAGACCCUCCAUAUAUACGACCUUGUCCUCGUGCAUUUCGUUACUUCUCUUAUGCGAUUGUGGGCACCAAGAUCAUGGUCUCCACACCAAUAACUCCAGCUUUUUGCUUCGACGUCGCCGCCCCAAAUCCCCGCCAAUGGUGGGUGUGCUCUGCUGAGCCUUUUCCCUUCAUAGGCCUUGCUUUAGUGGUGGACUUGGAGGAGGAAGGUAGUGACCUUAAAUGUAAUAAGAUAAUGUUUGGCUAUGAACGCAUACCUGGAUAUGGACAUGGUUAUGAUGUAGUAGCCUACGCCAUGUUCCACGAUGAUGAAAAUGGCUAUUGUUAUUAUCAUCGCAUCCAACCUCUACAUCUGCUGACAGAGUUCCAUGCAUUACUUGGUAGAUCACAUGACACGUUUAGAUUUGUCCAUCUAGGAGGUCGAAAAGUCUGCUUUGUUAUUGCCAGUUUCAUCCCAGGCUUGGAAGCUGAUGAUGAUCAUCCUAUUCCUACGACGGAGAAGAUGAAUCUCGUUGUCGUGACAUUCGAAUUUUCCAUUUCCGAGAAUAAUGAUGGUUCAACAAGAUCCUUCUCAACCAAAACCUUGGGUUCUUGCGUCUUUCCUUUCAAUUGGGCUUCAGAAUCUGGUCGCACCUUCGAUGGCAAACUGCUUGGUUGCUUUGUGCGCUAA
rnacentral:lncRNA from 1 species